GGGAAGGGGGAAGGGGGGACGGUGGGGGAGGGGACGGUGGAGGGGUGAGGGGGGGUGGAGGGAAACCUGGUGGCGAUGGUGGUGGUGAGAAUCUAUUGGAGGUGUUCGGCGGUGGAGGGGGUGGAGGGGGAGAGGGUCUUGGGGGUGGAGGCGGUGGCGGGGGGGAGGGUCUAGGUGGAGUCGGUGGCGGCGGGGGAGGCGGUGUAGGAGGUGGAGGAGGGCGGGGAGGAAGUGGGGGUGGAGGUCGGGGAGGGGUAGGAGGCGACGGCGACGGCGAAGGUGGGGGUCGUAAAGGCGAUAGAGGUGGUGGCGUGGGCGAAGGCGGGGUCGGCGAAGGCGGUGUCGGCGAAGGCGGUGGGGGUGAAGGAAGGGGUGAUGGAGGCGUGGGCGAAGGCGGGGUCGGCGACGGCGGUGGAGGUGAAGGAAGGGGUGAUGGAGGCGUGGGCGAAGGCGGGGUCGGCGACGGCGGUGGAGGUGAAGGAAGGGGUGAUGGAGGCGUGGGCGAAGGCGGGGUCGGCGACGGCGGUGGAGGUGAAGGAAGGGGUGAUGGAGGCGUGGGCGAAGGCGGGGUCGGCGACGGCGGUGGAGGUGAAGGAAGGGGUGAUGGAGGCGUGGGCGAAGGCGGGGUCGGCGACGGCGGUGGAGGUGAAGGAAGGGGUGAUGGAGGCGCGGGCGAAGGCGGGGUCGGCGAAGGCGGUGGAGGUGAAGGAAGGGGUGAUGGAGGCGCGGGCGAAGGCGGUGUCGGCGAAGGCGGUGGAGGUGAAGGAAGGGGUGAUGGAGGCGCGGGCGAAGGCGGU
rnacentral:lncRNA from 1 species